CCUACGGGGUGCAGCAGUGAGGAAUAUUGGUCAAUGGGCGCGAGCCUGAACCAGCCAAGUAGCGUGAAGGAUGAAUGCCCUACGGGUUGUAAACUUCUUUUAUAAAGGAAUAAAGUGAGGCACGUGUGCCUUUUUGUAUGUACUUUAUGAAAAAGGAUCGGCUAACUCCGUGCCAGCAGCCGCGGUAAUCCGGAGGGUCCGAGCGUUAUCCGGAUUUAUUGGGUUUAAAGGGAGCGUAGAUGGGUUGUUAAGUCAGUUGUGAAAGUUUGCGGCUCAACCGUAAAAUUGCAAUUGAUACUGGCAGCCUUGAGUACAGUUGAGGUAGGCGGAAUUCGUGGUGGAGCGGUGAAAUGCUUAGAUAUCACGAAGAACUCCGAUUGCGAAGGCAGCUUACUAAACUGCCACUGACAUUGAUGCUCGAAAGUGUGGGUAUCAAACAGGAUUAGAUACCCGGGUAGUC
rnacentral:rRNA from 1 species